GACGAACGCUGGCGGCGUGCUUAACACAUGCAAGUCGAACGGAAAGGCCCUGCUUUUGUGGGGUGCUCGAGUGGCGAACGGGUGAGUAACACGUGAGUAACCUGCCCUUGACUUUGGGAUAACUUCAGGAAACUGGGGCUAAUACCGGAUAGGAGCUCCUGCUGCAUGGUGGGGGUUGGAAAGUUUCGGCGGUUGGGGAUGGACUCGCGGCUUAUCAGCUUGUUGGUGGGGUAGUGGCUUACCAAGGCUUUGACGGGUAGCCGGCCUGAGAGGGUGACCGGGCACAUUGGGACUGAGAUACGGCCCAGACUCCUACGGGAGGCAGCAGUGGGGAAUAUUGCACAAUGGGCGGAAGCCUGAGGCAGCAACGCCGCGUGCGGGAUGACGGCCGUCGGGUUGUAAACCGCUUUCGCCUGUGACGAAGCGUGAGUGACGGUAAUGUGUAAAGAAGCACCGGCUAACUACGUG
rnacentral:rRNA from 1 species